UCGGGAUAUAUAAAGAGUUAUGUGGUGUGCAACCUAUCAAAUUAAAUCUCUUUGAGUCUAGUUUCUAAAUCAUCAAACCGUUUGUCAUUUGAAUAUUUAUACAAGACGUUAUGGGUGUUUAAACAGAAGGUGUCCGACAAGGAACAAUUUUAAUAGGAUGUACAACCUGUAUAGCACAAGUUCAAGGUACAACUCGACGAAGCACAGACAGAUUCUUUUAUACACGGAUUUAGCUCACUUUUCUUCAUUUCUUCAAAGGAUGGACGAUUUUUGGGGAGCUUCAAAAGGGGAUUUUCAUCAUCAAUGUGAAGGUAAGUUAUCCCCACCUAUUUUGAGUUAGGUACAUCAAUUAUGUAUGGAUUUGAGCAUGAAAAUUGUAGAAAAAUUGAGGAUUUUGGCCUAGGGAUUUGAAAAUAAGAUUUGGUGAUUUGAGGGGUCAAAUGAUCUCCGAUUUUGGUAAAUUUUAUAUGUAUGUACUCGUGGCGAGACGAGGAAUCCGGUGAUUUGACUUUCGUAAUUUUUCAAGAAGUGGGCCCGGGGCUCGGGUUUUGCUAAUUUCGGGAUUUUCGACAUUUUUCGAGUAUUUUCGAUUGGGUUAUAUUCUCUUAGCCUAAUGUGACGCAUUCGUUGUGCUUUUGACUAGAUUCGAUGCGUGAAGAGGUCGAUUCAAGAGGAAAGGGCAUUGCGGACUAGUCUACGGCCGGUUAGAGGUGAGUAAUAGAUAUAAAUGCUGUUAUGAGGAUUUGAAUACCCGGACUUUCACAUUGUAACGCUAUAUUGAGGCGUGACACGCACUCCAUGGCGAGUACGGGGUCGGAUACUAUUGGGGAUUGUGACUUGGUCCAUCUCGUGUGAUGUUUAUACUAUACUGGUGAUUAAUACACAUACUUCAUUGAUAUUACGGGGCUUGAUGCCAUGUUUGGGGCCUUGUGCCGAUUUGUAAAAUCCUUCGAGGAUUGAUAUUACUGCUUAGCAUGAUUUGCAUAUCAUUUAAUUUCAG
rnacentral:lncRNA from 1 species